UCCUCAUGCUAUGUUCCAAAACUGUACUACUGUAUCACCUUUUCAGAAAGACAGUCUUUUAAUUUCCAGAAUAGCAAGGACAUCUGAGGAUUUCCAGCUGUUAUCCAUCAAAAGUCAGCAAUUGGGGAACCAGAGUAGAGGACAUGGACCUAACUCAGGAACAAGCACUCUUCCGUUGGCAACUGCUGAAGAAAAAGAGUGUAGUGCAUUCAGCACUGAAGGUUAUUUAUUUAUAAAAUAAUAUACCACCUUCUCACAAAACAUC